CUCGCUUCUCGGCCUAAAAGCUAAGAUCAAAGUGUAGUAUCUGUUCUUAUCAGCUUAACAUAUGAUACCGUCCGCCAUAGGGAGACAGCAAAUCAUAAACUGAUUUUUAUGAAACUGGUAUUGCGGUUUAAGGAUCCUUGUGCCACCAGGAUCGGCCCUCGUACGUCCUAAAUGGAUCAUUUUAGAUGGCUGAGUUUUGA